AUUGAUCAUGGCUCGAUUGACGCUGGCGGCAGGCCUAACACAUGCAAGUCGAACGGUAGCACAGAGAGCUUGCUCUCGGGUGACGAGUGGCGGACGGGUGAGUAAUGUCUGGGAAACUGCCUGAUGGAGGGGGAUAACUACUGGAAACGGUAGCUAAUACCGCAUAACGUCGCAAGACCAAAGAGGGGGACCUUCGGGCCUCUUGCCAUCAGAUGUGCCCAGAUGGGAUUAGCUAGUAGGUGGGGUAACGGCUCACCUAGGCGACGAUCCCUAGCUGGUCUGAGAGGAUGACCAGCCACACUGGAACUGAGACACGGUCCAGACUCCUACGGGAGGCAGCAGUGGGGAAUAUUGCACAAUGGGCGCAAGCCUGAUGCAGCCAUGCCGCGUGUAUGAAGAAGGCCUUCGGGUUGUAAAGUACUUUCAGCGGGGAGGAAGGGGUUAAGGUUAAUAACCUCAUCCAUUGACGUUACCCGCAGAAGAAGCACCGGCUAACUCCGUGCCAGCCGCCGCGGUAAU
rnacentral:rRNA from 1 species